rnacentral:lncRNA from 10 species
GAAGUCUGAAGACUGCAGUUUCUCCACACCCUACAUGUCAAAGUGCCUUGUACCACUUGACAUAUCAAGUCUGCAGCCCGGGUCCGACAGAGCAUGGCUUCUUUGUCACAGCAGCUUUUCCAUAUCUUAGAAGGCCUGGAGGAGCAGAGUGGUGACCACCUUCUUGAUGUCUGAAAUCUCUCACCUCCACUCACCACCAGGCUGGUUCUCAAGCCACACAUGAGGAUAACAUUCAUUCUUGCCUUAGUUCUGUCUUUAGAGGGGAUUCUUGUGCCCACCUUGUUCUGUUCUCAGUAAUUAGUCCUUCCUUCUAUGCCUAAGACUUCCAUAAGCAAUACAAAGUUUUUAAUAAGAAAAAAACAAGAAAGGGAAAAGGAAAGGAUAAAAACAGUAAUCUCCUGGAAGAAAAAUUAAUAUGGUU